UCCCCCUUGGUGUAAUCGGCAGCACAACGGUCUUUGGAACCGUUAGUUCCAGUUCGAAUCUGGCCGGGGGAGC
rnacentral:tRNA from 1 species